GAUGAACGCUAGCGGCAGGCUUAACACAUGCAAGUCGAGGGGUAUAGGGAGCUUGCUUCCUAGAGACCGGCGCACGGGUGCGUAACGCGUAUGCAAUCUACCUUUUGCAGAGGGAUAGCCCAGAGAAAUUUGGAUUAAUACCUCAUAGUAUAGCAGUUUCGCAUGAAACCACUAUUAAAGUCACAACGGCAAAAGAUGAGCAUGCGUCCCAUUAGCUUGUUGGUAAGGUAACGGCUUACCAAGGCAACGAUGGGUAGGGGUCCUGAGAGGGAGAUCCCCCACACUGGUACUGAGACACGGACCAGACUCCUACGGGAGGCAGCAGUGAGGAAUAUUGGACAAUGGGCGCAAGCCUGAUCCAGCCAUGCCGCGUGCAGGAUGACGGUCCUAUGGAUUGUAAACUGCUUUUGACGAGAAGAAACAACAUUACGUGUAAUGUCUUGACGGUAUCGUAAGAAUAAGGAUCGGCUAACUCCGUGCC
rnacentral:rRNA from 1 species